AACGAACGCUGGCGGCAGGCUUAACACAUGCAAGUCGAGCGCCCCGCAAGGGGAGCGGCAGACGGGUGAGUAACGCGUGGGAACGUACCCUUUGCUACGGAAUAGCUCCGGGAAACUGGAAUUAAUACCGUAUGUGCCCUACGGGGGAAAGAUGUAUCGGCAAAGGAUCGGCCCGCGUUGGAUUAGCUAGUGGGUGGGGUAAUGGCCUACCAAGGCGACGAUCCAUAGCUGGUCUGAGAGGAUGAUCAGCCACAUUGGGACUGAGACACGGCCCAAACUCCUACGGGAGGCAGCAGUGGGGAAUAUUGGACAAUGGGCGCAAGCCUGAUCCAGCCAUGCCGCGUGAGUGAUGAAGGCCUUAGGGUUGUAAAGCUCUUUCACCGGAGAAGAUAAUGACGGUAUCCGGAGAAGAAGCCCCGGCUAACUUCGUGCCAGCCGCCGCGGUAAAAC
rnacentral:rRNA from 1 species